GCCCGCGCUUCUGCACCACUGCAUACGUGUCAGACAUGGCGUGGGACGGAUCCUGGGGCACCGACGGAUCCCGGGGCACCGAGAUGCUCCUGCGGGCAGGGACAGCGUGGAGGAAGUGAAAGGGCAGCACUCAGAGCUGGUGGGUACGUCCCGUGCUCGGCACGCAAACCACUGCUUCCUUCCCGCAGGAGGGCGCGCCGGAACGGAGCGAGGAGGCGGGCUGGGGGGCAGGCGGAGGAGGGGGCUCUGGGUAGGGGGAAGGUGUCUGGUUUGCGUGUCCCUAGCGCUCAGUACGUUCGUUGGAGAUGAAGCACAGGACGGGCCUGGCAGCGGUUUUUUCGCAGAUUCUCUGGCUGACAGGCGGCUUCGGUAGAGCACACUCCGUCAGUCUUCAAGGCAGCUGAGCGGGCCCGGAUGUCCUGAUGGGCGGCACGGGGAAGGGAUGAGUGAGAAAAGAAAGGAGCCACAUCAGAGUCCUGGGGCACCAAUACACUUGCAGAACACAGACCAGAACCUGGAGGCUCAGCGAUUCAGCGAUCCCGCCACACUUCCCCCUUGUUCCCUUGUUCCUGGUUAAGGCCUCCGCAGCAGGGGGCACCCUCGCCACCCAGCCUUCUGUAGAGAGGGCCCUCAGCACAUCUGGCCUUCGGGAUCCACGGACCUGCAUGGCAUCCUAUCUCAUGUGGGUAUUCACGUUUGCAUUUCGUCUGUAUAGUUUCAUAUCUUAUAAUUAUGUUUACAUUUAGUAUGCGUUUUAUUUAUGUGCUACACUAUUUUUACAGGUGUGGUAAAUUAGAUUUUUUUACUUGUUGGUUAUAUAUGGUCUUAUGCAAUAAGACUAUUGUGUAAAUUGUCAUUUGUAAUCAUUUACUUUUAUGUAUCUAUAAUAUGUAUCACAUAUUUCAAAAUUUCAUCUAUGUCACCACACAGUAAGUUUACACAUCUGUGCAGUGUCUAUGCCAUGCCUCCGGCGCCCCGUCAGCACCUACAACCCUUGGCUGCCUUACACUCUGGUAACGUUUAGACUCCUUGUCGGUAGUGACAAAGUGAGCGCCAAAGAUGUCCUAAGUGGUUUUUGGAUUUUUUUUUUUUAACCAACACCACUUAAUUCUUGGGACAGUUUGGUCUUAAUGCACCCAUUUCCCCGAAGGAGAAACUGAGGCCAGAGCCACCAAAUAAACCGCCCGGCCCACGGCCCAGUGUCCUCACUCUUGAAGGUCAGGGCCUCCUGGUUCCUCUCCCCCUGCUCCCACCGGGGUGACCGGUGCGCCAGGGGCGGCCAGGUGGUUCCGCGCAGGUGUGCGCUGGCUCUCCCCUGCUGCGACGCCCCUCCCGCCCGCGCGAGACUGUUCCGGGAGCCCGACCAGGAAACCAGCCCCGAGGUAGUAUCCCUCCUGGCCCGCUAUGGACUUCGCCCUCAGGCUGACAACCAAGACAGCGCGAGAGAGCGACAAAGUGUUGCGGAGAGAAAAGCAAAGAGCCAGAGGGGGAAACGUCCCUGAGCACCCGGAGAGGCAGAGCCGCAGGGCGCACAGGACAGAGUUCCGACCAUCCGGACAGAGGACUGAGCGUGCGGCGCAGCGGUCCACACU